rnacentral:rRNA from 1 species
AUUGAACGCUGGCGGCAGGCCUAACACAUGCAAGUCGAGCGGAUGAAGGGAGCUUGCUCCUGGAUUCAGCGGCGGACGGGUGAGUAAUGCCUAGGAAUCUGCCUGGUAGUGGAGGAUAACGUCCGGAAACGGGCGCUAAUACCGCAUACGUCCUGAGGGAGAAAGUGGGGGAUCUUCGGACCUCACGCUAUCAGAUGAGCCUAGGUCGGAUUAGCUAGUUGGUGGGGUAAAGGCCUACCAAGGCGACGAUCCGUAACUGGUCUGAGAGGAUGAUCAGUCACACUGGAACUGAGACACGGUCCAGACUCCUACGGGAGGCAGCAGUGGGGAAUAUUGGACAAUGGGCGAAAGCCUGAUCCAGCCAUGCCGCGUGUGUGAAGAAGGUCUUCGGAUUGUAGAGCACUUUAAGUUGGGAGGAAGGGCAGUAAGUUAAUACCUUGCUGUUUUGACGUUACCAACAGAAUAAGCACCGGCUAACUUCGUG